AUUAAGUAUCGGGAAAUGGGACGGGGCUCAAGUAAACUUUCGGGCGAGCAGAUAAAGGAAUUGACAGAAAUUACCUAUUUUGACAAAAAAGAAGUUCAACAAUGGUAUGUAUUCCAUUUACUUACUUUCCUCUUUCGGACGUUAACCUCUCUCUAUCUAUCUAUCUUUCUUUCUGUCUAUCUCUCUCUUGCUCUCUGGCUCUCUCUUGCGCUCUCUCUCUCUCUCUUUCUCUCUCCCUUUUUUCUUUCUUUCAUGCUUUCUUCCCCUCACUCUCUUUAUAUAUAAUCUACUUCCUUUUCUGACCACUUUUUUUUAAUAGUUUACUAUGUGUGUUCUACGUCAGGAUAAAUAUUUCCGGCCUAGGGCUAAAAAAGAGUUUCGUAUUAUUGAUUCAUUGAUCUAGCGGCAUCUAAAAAAUGCGAUAAAGACGCCCUUUUGUAUCGAAUUCAUUUGAAAUAUAGAUAAUAGAGGCAAUUCGGUUUUAACCUUUCGAUUCGAAAAUUAUUCAGAUGCAUCUAGUUUUGAUUUAAGAAACUUUUUUCCUCUUUCAAAAGCCCCGAAUCGGUUAGAAGAAAUCACUUAAAUAGGAUAAUUUUCAAGUUAAGUGAAGAGGAAAAGUCGAAUUAGGCCUAUUGGAAAAGUUUUACGCUAAUGCUGCAUUUGUUGCUCUACAGGCAUAAAGAUUUUCUCAAGGAUUGUCCAAACGGAUCUCUAAGAAGAGACCAAUUCGAAGCAAUUUACCAACAGUUUUUUCCACACGGUGAUCCUUCAAAGUUCGCUCUAGCUGUCUUUAACGUCUUUGACCAAAAUAAAGACGGUGUUAUUGAGUUUAAAGAAUUCUUACAUGCGCUUAGCGUCACAUCUCGAGGAACUCUUGAUGAGAAAUUGGACUGGGCAUUUAGUUUGUACGAUUUGGACGAUGAUGGGUAUAUUGAUAGACUUGAGAUGAUAAGUGUUGUCGAAGCUAUACAUGCAAUGGUUGGUUCUUUCCUGCAAAUGCCUGAUGACGACGAUUCACCAGAGAAGAGGGUUGAUAAAAUAUUCGAUCAAAUGGAUAUGAAGAGAGAGUGGAGAAAUAAGUUCUCGGGUGGCGAAACUAACGUUGAGACUCGACUAAACUAUAAUGCGAUGAUUGAUGAUUGCUAAUGAAAUCAACCUGCUUUAUAAAAGGGAUACCAAAGCUAUUUGCAUAUAUUUGCAAAUCGAGAUGGUAAAUUGACGAAAGACGAAUUUCGGCAAGGUUCAAAAUGUGAUUCGUGGAUUGUUAACGCCCUUAGUACUCAGCUUUCACCUUAUCAACCGCCUCCAACUGCAGGUCAGGUACUCGCUCCAAAAUUGCAAGCGGAAGUCGCUAGGCAAACGAAAAAGUCCAAGAACCGUAAAUAGGUUAAUUAGAAGAAAUAAAGAAAGUAACUGCUCAUUUUAUCAAGUAGAAUUGAGAAUAACUAAUAAAGAAAGCAGACGGACUACUCAAGCAAACUGAACAGAAUGAAUAAAAGAUGGAAAAACGUUUGUCUUCAGUUGUUUUCUUUAAAACAUAAACAAAUAUUAAAAAGGGAGAAAAUUACAAAAGAACAAAGUGAACAAGUUGAAUAGCAAACGAAAAUCCGAUCAGUCCACAUGUAUAAUUUCUACUACUGUGCAUGUGAUAAUGUAGGUUAAUUUAUGCAUAAAUUUAUGACUUGAAAUUUGUUUCUUACUCGUAUUCUCUUCUUGGAAUACAAGAUAUAUACAAAAGAGAAAAGUCUGUUUGUACUGAAUAGCUGGCGGUGAAGAGACAAGAGAAUUAUCUAGAAAAAU
rnacentral:misc_RNA from 1 species